AAUCAACGCUGGCGGCGUGCCUCAGACAUGCAAGUCGAACGAUUAAAGCUCUCUUCGGAGAGUGCAUAGAGUGGCGCACGGGUGAGUAACACGUAAGUAAUCUACCUUCGAGUGGGGAAUAACGUCCGGAAACGGACGCUAAUACCGCAUAAUGCAGCGGCAUCGCAAGAUGACAGUUGUUAAAGAUUUAUCGCUUGAAGAGGAGCUUGCGGCAGAUUAGCUAGUUGGUAAGGUAAUGGCUUACCAAGGCUACGAUCUGUAACCGGUCUUAGAGGACGGUCGGUCACACUGACACUGAAUAACGGGUCAGACCCCUACGGGAGGCAGCAGUCGGGAAUUUUGGGCAAUGGGCGAAAGCCUGACCCAGCAACGCCGCGUGAAGGAUGAAGUAUUUCGGUAUGUAAACUUCGAAAGAAUGGGAAGAAUAAAUGACGGUACCAUUUAUAAGGUCCGGCUAACUACGUGCCAGCCGCCGCCGUAAAAC
rnacentral:rRNA from 1 species